rnacentral:rRNA from 1 species
UGGGGAAUUUUGGACAAUGGGCGCAAGCCUGAUCCAGCAAUGCCGCGUGUGUGAAGAAGGCCUUCGGGUUGUAAAGCACUUUUGUCCGGAAAGAAAUCCGUCUGGCUAAUACCCGGACGGGAUGACGGUACCGGAAGAAUAAGCACCGGCUAACUACGUGCCAGCAGCCGCGGUAAUACGUAGGGUGCGAGCGUUAAUCGGAAUUACUGGGCGUAAAGCGUGCGCAGGCGGCUUUGUAAGACAGAUGUGAAAUCCCCGGGCUCAACCUGGGAACUGCAUUUGUGACUGCAAGGCUAGAAUGCGUCAGAGGGAGGUGGAAUUCCGCGUGUAGCAGUGAAAUGCGUAGAGAUGCGGAGGAACACCGAUGGCGAAGGCAGCCUCCUGGGAUGACACUGACGCUCAUGCACGAAAGCGUGGGGAGCAAACA